GGGGGCGUGGCCCAGAGGAGCAAGUCUUCCGGGGAGCAAACCCGGAGACCGCCGGUUCGAAUCCGGCCGCCCCCA
rnacentral:tRNA from 1 species